rnacentral:lncRNA from 1 species
AAAAACAAAAAGAAAAAGAAAAAGAAAAAAACUUACCCACUGAUAGUUGGUUCAGAGGUAUCUGGCACUGAACUCGGUAGGGCGGAUUACGAUCCGAUCCCCCACAACUACUGUUGGGUCCAAUAAAAGGGUUUACACAUAAUUAUGUGCCAGAAAUCCCAUGCUCAGAUCAUAAUUACUAACAGGCCACUCUACUAUGAAAC